rnacentral:rRNA from 1 species
UACGGAGGAUCCGAGCGUUAUCCGGAUUUAUUGGGUUUAAAGGGAGCGUAGGCGGGGAUGCAAGUUGGGUGUCAAAACUACCGGCUCAACCGAUAGUCGCACUCAAAACUGCAGCUCUUGAGUGAAGUAGAGGCAGGCGGAAUUCCUAGUGUAGCGGUGAAAUGCGUAGAUAUUAGGAGGAACACCAGUGGCGAAGGCGGCCUGCUGGGCUUUUACUGACGCUGAGGCUCGAAAGUGUGGGGAGCAAACAGG